rnacentral:rRNA from 1 species
GAUGAACGCUGGCGGCGUGCUUAACACAUGCAAGUCGAACGGGACACCUUUUAUUGAUGCUUCGGCAGAUUUAGCUGGUUUCUAGUGGCGGACGGGUGAGUAACGCGUAGGUAACCUGACUUAUACAGGGGGAUAACAACCAGAAAUGGUUGCUAAUACCGCCUAAGCGCACAGGACCGCAUGGUUCGGUGUGAUAAACUCCGGUGGUAUAGGCUGGCCCGGCGUUGGGUUACCUAGUUGGCAGGGUAACGGCCUAUCAAGGCGACGAUCCAGAACCGGCCUGAGAGGGAGAUCGGGCACAUAGGUACUGAGACACGGCCCAGACGCCUACGUGAGGGAGCAGUGGGGGAUAUUGAACAAUGGGAGGAACCCUGAUGCAGCGACUACGCGUGAAGGAAGAAGUAUCUCGGUAUGUAAACUUCUAUCAGCAGGGAAGAUAGUGACGGUACCUGACUAAGAGGCCGCGGCUAACUACGUG